UCGAGUUCAAGAGAGGGGGAGUGCGGUGUGGAGUGUGGUGGUGGUGGACGUGUGGUGUGGUAGUGGUAGCGGUAAAGUGACGUCUGAACUUUUUGCCGGUUGUACAAAUACUCGAGUAAAAUGAUUCCCGUUACCAUUGUGCUGGAAUGUGUGAUCUGUGCUCAUCUGAACUUCUCUGGAUUUAAUCUCGCAACUGCAUUUGAGGUAAGUCACUUCAAUUUCCAUGCAAAUGUUGGGAUUCACGCCUGUACCAUGGGCCUCCUAACCUCGCACCUAGUGCCAAUCCAUGUGUUAACAUAGAGUUAAUUGCAUUUGGAGCUGUUCCUUUCAUCGUGAAUUUACUCUUUAUUUAUUUUCGAAGUGCCGCCGUGAUAGGAUCAUACUUCUCGUGAUGUUAAUCGUGAGAAACACUUGUAAAGUAGAAGCCUAGCCUUGGCCUAGCCUUGGCCUAGCCUUGGCCUAGCCUUGGCCUAGCCUAGGCCUCUGCUGCCCUGGCCUUUUGUCAUCACCUUAAUGACCCUAGAGGAGAGCAAGAGAUGAACUAUCACGUCCUGGCAGUUUUAAUGUUUACCAUGUUCAUUUUACUAGAAGUUUCAUGUUUUUCAUUUCUGUUUUUAGCCAUGGCGAAGUUUGUUGUGAAGGGACUAACCGGUGACCGCUCCCAGAAAGUGUUUAUUUGUGCGGGGGAUUUGCUGGAAUUAAGAGAAGAGAUGAAAAGGAAACUGAAGCUUCCAGAAGGAGAUUAUAAUGUCUAUCAAGCAAACGAUGGCACCAUGAUUGAUGAUGUUGGUAUAUUUCAACUGCUGGCUCAGGAAGCUAAAGAAGCCAAGGUCCAUCUAGAAGUCAUGCUGCUCACGGACAGUGCUGAUUGGACAGAUGUUUCUCUGCGGAGCCCACACUCUCCCAAUGACUACACCUCAGGGAUCUGAGCCAAAUAGAGAUCGUACUGAUAGUUUGGAAGAGAGUCUUACCUGUUCUUCUGAAAGCCAGACUUCAACACCGGUUGCCAGGCGUAGGCUCGCAUUCCCUAUCACAGAUGUGUGUGAAUUCUUGGACGAAGCUCUUGAGCGGUUGAAUUCAAAUAACCCCCCAAAGAAUAUGUUUGCCAUUAAGAAGAGAGCUGUUCGUGAGGCCUGCCAUGCCGUUGGUAGGCACAUGUUAAAGAAACUUAAAGACUACAGGAAGGUGACAGCAAGAGCUUUGGCGCAACAAAUUAUUGAUUAUGAUGGAGGCAGAUACUCUAAACUUUUUCAAGUUGUUAUCGGGAGUGCUGUGUCUGACCCUGGCUAUAAAUCUUUUACCCAGUGUAUUUAUGGUUAUGUUAACCACAAUAAGGGGCCAGAAAACAAGACUAGAAGGGGCUCACGCUCUUCUUCAAGAAGUGAAGAAGAAGAAGAUGGAGAUUUUGGUCUUUUGCCUCCGUCCCCAUCCAAACAAGACCUGUACGGCUGUGUGGCUUAUGAGGUGCCCCUACCUUUCGGAGAGACGACAUCAUCGCAAGAGGAGAAAAGACUUCAGGCUGUUGAGUUGGAAAACCGAGAAGAUGUAGAAGCCGAUACGCUGAUGGCGGCAACCUAUGCCACUCAGCGUCUUGAUAUAAACCGGGGUAAGCCCCUCAAAGUCUAUCUUCCAACUGUAGUCAGGAGCUGGCCACUAUUGCUUAGAAAGACGCAUUUUAUCAGACAUGCUCAAACUUUGCUUGGUAAAGAUGUUGAGGCUGUGUUCAACAACAAUGUUGGUAAUCAUUGGAAAACUAUCUUUGAUUUCAUCCAUCAAUAUAGUGAAACAGAAUCAAAGAAAGAAGUUGUACCUCAAACAAUUACUUCAAUGAUGUCUCUUGUCACACAAGCACUGAGCCAGAGCCAGAGUAACAGGUCAAUAGAAGCGAGAUGUAUAUCAGAGCUCUGCAAAAGUCCCCUCACUGACCGACCGAGCUGACCGGCAGGCGGUCGGCACCGACCGCCUCCUCACCUCUCACCUGCACGCGGUCGGUGCCUACCGCCUGCCGGUCGAGCUCGGUCGGUCGACGAGGCGAUUUUGCAGAGCUCUCAUGUAUAUCAAUGUUUCCGAUGAUUGCCCUAUACCUUGAUGAGAAGCUUGACAAAUUAUUUGCCCUUCUUCCUGAUACUGCUUCAGAAGAGGAAGUAGUUGCUGCUGGCUCCGAUCUGAAUGGAUACCCCAUAUUGGUCAUAAGAGGCAAAUCAAUUUUUGAAUUCACUUCCUGUGAUGUUGUGUUGGUGGGUCAAUUGAAGAUAACAGCAUCUAGCCCUC